UAAUUAAACAUAAUAAAAAUCUGAAUGUAAACUGCUGCACUGCUAACAGAGCAGCCAAGAGACCAUCAGGGCUUAGUGUUUGCAUAAAUCAGCAAGACAGGAAGAUUUAGAAAAAGUUCCCAAAUCCCCAAAGCAUGGGAUUUACAGAGUGUUUGGGAAGGGACAAACUCAGAAAAUAAACAUCGUGGGACGGCCACGAGAAAUGAACGUGGGAGGAAAACAACAAAAAAAGAACAGUUCUGUGAGAUAAAGGGUCAAACUUGCCAGGCAUAAAACAGUCCAGUCCCAAAACCUGAGCUGAGAACAACGGAAACAGAUUUUUUCACAGCCCUGGCUUUUCUUAACCGUGUUGGGGGAAAAAAAAAAAGACCCCAAAAAUAUGUAUUUUAAGUGGAACUUACAAAAUAUACUCUUCAGAAAAGAUCUGGUCCAGCAGGUGAAGAACCAGCCUUUUGACCAGAUGAACUGGAAUAAUCCUUGCACAUUUUAAUACCAAAAAAAAACCCCUUUGAAACACAGUCUGGAUUGAAGGGGAACAACUCUGUGAACCAAACACUUGCAAGAGUGUUUGCUACCCCCCAAAAUGGAUUUUAAAACAUGGCCAUUUCUUUUCCCAUAUUCCCCAAGGAGCACAGGACUAGGAGCAGAGGGAAUGCAAGAGACUCUGCUCUCCCAGAAAUCAGGGAAGAGGUGUGGGAGAGGAGAUUUUUACAUUCACUUCUGUUUCAAGAUUGGGACUUCACUCCAGCCUUAAGCUGCUCUGGAAAUCUGAACCACUUCAAAAAUGAAAGAUUUACAAUCGAAACAACGAUCAUCUUUAUUGGAACGGCAACAGUAGUUUCAUGAGAGUAAAGAACGUUAAGAGAACUUGAAAUUUUUAUAAGCCAAGGUAAAGUAAUUUACCAGCCUCAAUAAAAACCAGGGCUAUGAACCACACAAGACAAAUCACUCGGCUGCUGCAUUAAUAUUCCAUUCCCCAGCUGAGGCUCCACACUGUGCUCAGCAUCCUCAGGCUCCCUAUGGAUUCAGCCAAGUGUCCUUCCUGAUCAUAUUAGUGUAUCACAUCUAAGAGCUCUCUAAAAUCCAAACAGGAUUACGAGUCUGGUAGCAUGUGCUACCAGAAAUCCAACUAAUUAGCUGCCUUAUGUUACCUUCGAGAGGCUGGUUACAAAAUGUGUAGUUCUGUGACCAAAAAAAAAAACAACAAACAAACAAACAAAAAAAUAGGAUGCAAAAGCUUGUCAGCUGGAAGAUAACUGUGAGCAACCAACAGAAGCACAAAGGGUUUAAAGGAAACAAAAAAAAAAGAGAGAAAAAUGGCAGGUCCAGUUUUCAAUAUUUCCACCAACAAACAUGGCAGCAACCUCUGUUAUCAGGGUUUGAAAACCAAGGCUUGUGUAGUUUAAUGGAGGUUUAAAAACGAACAUAAAACAACGACAAAAAAGGACGUGGCUGCUUUGAUAAAAGCACAUUAAAAUGCCACCACACACAUCUCGAGUGUCUCACUUUGAGGGACAUCCUGCUUGCCACCUAAAACAGCCCUGCUUCCAACACUCCACUUCCAACACUCCCUCCCAGCUCCAUCCUUGGCCACUGUUCCCUCCCCAGCGCUUCCCAGGCUCAGGGAGCUGGACCAGCAGUGUGGCUGUGGGAGCAAAGGAUGAAGGGAUGGAAGGAUGAGGGCAUGGAGGUGGGAUGGGGGGCAUGGUCACUGCCUGCUGUCCCACACUGAGGGAUGGAAGGAUGAGGGCAUGGAGUUGGGAUGGGGGGCAUGGUCACUGCCUGCUGUCCCACACUGAGGGGUGGAAGGAUGAGGGAUGUGGAGGUGGGAUGGGGGGGAUGCUCCACGGAUGGAAGGAUGAGGGUGUGGAGUUGGGAUGAGGGGGAUGCUCCCUGCCUGCUGUCCCAUGCUGGGGGAUGGAAGGACAGGGGGAUGUUCCCUGCCUGCUGUCCCAUGCUGGGGGAUGGAAGGAUGAGGGUGUGGAGGUGGGAUGAGGGGAUGCUCCCUGCCUGCUGUCCCACACUGAGGGAUGGAAGGAUGAAGGACAUGGAGGUGGGAUGAGGGGGAUGCUCCCUGCCUGCUGUCCCACACUGAGGGAUGGAAGGAUGAAGGACAUGGAGGUGGGAUGGAUGUGGAGGGGAUGGUCACUGCCUGCUGUCCCACGCUGGGGGAUGGAAGGAUGAGGGUGUGGAGGUGGGAUGGAAGGAUGAGGGUGUGGAGGUGGGAUGGAAGGAUGAGGGUGUGGAGGUGGGAUGGAAGGAUGAGGGUGUGGAGGUGGGAUGGAAGGAUGAGGGUGUGGAGGUGGGAUGGACAGGGAGGGAGGGGGUGCUCACUGCCUGCUGUCCCACGCUGCGGCUGGAGAGGGCUGAGGGAUCACUGGAGCUUUUCUGAGGACAGAUGGAGGGAGAGAAGAGAAACACUAAAGCCUGACUCAUGGGAUCCGAGACUGACCAGAGCACUGCAGAAUCCUUUGCUUCACAUUUACACACAGACAUCCCUCGCCCCAAAACCUAAAGAAUUUUAAGUUUUUUACACUAUCCGUUAAUUUAUUUUUUUU